rnacentral:rRNA from 1 species
AGUUCGAUUCUGGCUCAGAUUGAACGCUGGCGGGAUGCUUUACACAUGCAAAGUCGAACGGCAGCACGGACUUCGGUCUGGUGGCGAGUGGCGAACGGGUGAGUAAUGUCGGAACGUGCCUAGUAGCGGGGGAUAACUAAAGCGUAGCUAAUACCACAUACGCCCUUCGGGGAAAGCGGGGGACCUUCGGGCCUCGCACUAAUUAGAAGCGGCCGAUAUCGGAUUAGCUAGUUGGUGGAGUAACGGCUCACCAAGGCGACGAUCCGUAGCUGGUUUGAGAGGACGACCAGCCACACUGGGACUGAGACACGGCCCAGACUCCUACGGGAGGCAGCAGUGGGGGGUACGGACAAUGGGGAAACCCUGAUCCAGCCACCCCGCGUGUGCGAUGAAGGCCUUCGGGUUGUAAGCACUUUUGGCAGGAAAGAAACGGCACGGGAUACCCGUCACAACUGACGAACACCUGCAGAAUAAGCACCGGCCUAACUACGUGCCACGGCGCAGCCGCGGUAAUACGUAGGGUGCAAGCGUUAAUCGGAAUUACUGGGCGUAAAGCGUGCGCAGGCGGUUCGGAAGAAAGAUGUAAAAUCCCGGAAGCUUAACUUUGGAACUGCAUUUUUAACUACCGAGCUAGAGUGUGUCAGAGGGAGGUGGAAUUCCGCGUGGCAGUGAAAUGCGUAGAUAUGCGGAGGAACACCAUUGGCGAAGGCAGCCUCCUGGGAUAACACUGACGCUCAUGCACGAAAGCGUGGGGGAGCAAACAGGAUUAGAUACCCUGGUAGUCCACGCCCUAAACGAUGUCAACUAGCUGUUGGGGCCUUCGGGCCUUGUGCGUCUUCAACACGCGUGAAGUUGACCGCCUGGGAGUACGGUCGCAAGAUUAAAACUCAAAGGAAUUGACGGGGACCCGCACAAGCGGUGGAUGAUAUGGUUAAUUCGAUGCAACGCAGAAAACCUUACCUACACUUGACAUGUCUGGAAUCCCGAAGAGAUUUAGAGUGCUCCUCAAGAGAACCGGAACACAGGUGCUGCAUGGCUGUCGUCAGCUCGUGUCGUGAGAUGUUGGGUUAAGUCCCGCAACGAGCGCAACCCACUUGUCAUUAGUUGCUACGAAAGGGCACUCCUAAUGAGACUGCCGGUGACAAACCGGAGGAAGGUGGGGAUGACGUCAAGUCCUCAUGGCCCUUAUGGGUAGGGCUUCACCCGUCAUACAAUGGUCAGGACAGAGGGUCGCCAACCACACGAGAGAUAAUCCCAGAAACCCGAUCGUAGUCCGGAUCACCGGUCUGCAACUCGACUGCGUGAAGUCAGAGGCUCGCUAGUAAUCGCGGAUCAGCAUGUCGCGGUGAAUACGUUCCCGGGUCUUGUACACACCAAAUACACCAUGGGAGUGGGUUUUACCAGAAGUAGUUAGCCUAACCUAGCAAUGAGGAAGCAGGCGACCACGGUGGAGUUCAGCGACUGGGGUGAAGUCGUAACAAGGUAG